AACGAACGCUGGCGGCAGGCUUAACACAUGCAAGUCGAACGCCCCGCAAGGGGAGUGGCAGACGGGUGAGUAACGCGUGGGAACAUACCCUUUUCUACGGAAUAGCUCUGGGAAACUGGAAUUAAUACCGUAUACGCCCUACGGGGGAAAGAUUUAUCGGGGAAGGAUUGGCCCGCGUUGGAUUAGCUAGUUGGUGGGGUAAAGGCCUACCAAGGCGACGAUCCAUAGCUGGUCUGAGAGGAUGAUCAGCCACAUUGGGACUGAGACACGGCCCAAACUCCUACGGGAGGCAGCAGUGGGGAAUAUUGGACAAUGGGCGCAAGCCUGAUCCAGCCAUGCCGCGUGAGUGAUGAAGGCCUUAGGGUUGUAAAGCUCUUUCACCGAUGAAGAUAAUGACGGUAGUCGGAGAGGAAGCCCCGGCUAACUUCGUG
rnacentral:rRNA from 1 species